ensembl:lncRNA
CCUCCCUCUGUAUCACCACGUCGUUGAGGAGGACCUCCCUCUAACACCACAUCACUGAGGAGGACCUCCCUCUGUAUCACCACAUCACUGAGGAGGACCUCCCUCUAACACCACAUCACUGAGGAGGACCUCCCUCUAACACCACAUCACUGAGGAGGACCUCCCUCUGUAUCACCACGUCAUUGAGGAGGAGCUCAGUAACUAACUUUUACAUGAGUUGAUUGCAUAAUAGUGGUACAUCUAAAAUGGCACCCUAUUCCCUAUAUUGUACACUACUUUAGACCAGAGCCCUAUGACACCCUAUUCCCUAUAUUGUACACUACUUUAGACCAGAGCCCUGUGGGUUCUGAAGUUUCAAAGUAGUGCACUAUAUAGGGAAUGGGAUUCCAUUUGAGACGCAACGCUAUGACUACUAGGACCACCUGACUGACUGCUGGUAGAAUCUACACACUAGGUUUGACCUCCUUUCUCCACUAUGGGGCACUCUACAGUAGGACUAAAUCUUUGUCGAAUGCUGCACAUGGUUAAUACACAGAUGAGGUUUUAAUACACUGAUGAGGUUUUAAUACACGGAUGAGGUUUUAAUACACUGAUGAGGUGAGGAUACACGGGUGAGGUGAGGAUACACUGAUGAGGUUUUAAUACACUGAUGAGGUGAGGAUACACGGGUGAGGUGAGGAUACACUGAUGAGGUUUUAAUACACUGAUGAGGUAAUGAUACACGGAUGAGGUUUUAAUACACGGAUGAGGUGAGGAUACACUGAUGAGGUUUUAAUACACGGAUGAGGUGAGGAUACACAGAUGAGGUUUUAUUGGUUAAAGUUUGUCUAUUUCCUCUCCAACGAUGACAUGGUUUUUGUUGUUUAAUUAUGUCUCGUCUCGGAAACCUGCUUUUCCUGGUACUUUUCAAAUGAACAGAUAACAUCUUGUGAUGAUUUUUAAGUUUUCAUGUUUGUAAUAACAGUCUUUAGCGUGGACACGGCCAAAUCAUUCAGUUGAUUUCAUUAAAUUAGUCUUAUGUUUUGUGAGUUUAACCUUGCAGACAUGACAAGUGUCAUCGUGUGUUUGGCUGGGAGCCGUUAUGAUUUAGCUGCUGUUCAUGUGGUUGAAUCUGUGAUUGCUUAGUUUAUAGUUUAUAACAAUGACAUUUAUUUGUUGAAUCACGUCGAGUUAAUUUGAUGUUUCAUCAGUGUACAUUUUAUUAUUCAAAAGCAUAUGGACAGCGGUGUUUCUUCCACAUUUUUGUUAAAUAAAUACUUUUGUUUGGUUUUUUUUUAAACUUAAAUACUGUGACUUGACUUCAGGUACCCAGAAUGAUCAAUAACAACAGUACAAAUGGAAUAACCAACUGUAGCUUUGGUAGUUUCACAGGUCCUUUUAAAGUGCUGUUAGCAUUGACUUACUCUUCAAGUAAGAUGUACAUCAAUCAUCGAUCAUGUUUUUUCAAUCACCUCACUGUGAGGACUUCUUUCUAUUUAAAUCUGAACCUGUAGUGCUGACAUCUUUGUCCUGGGGAAUAUGGUAGUCCUGUGUGAGACUUUAACAACACUGACCAUCCAGUCUGUCAAUACAAUCAUCACAGUCUGUAGCCUAACGUGUAAAAGUCCCAGCCUCGGUCUUACACAGUAGCUGAAGGUUUAUUUCUGUUUUUACUAAAGAAAAACACUGACACAUAUAUUUACUGUUCUGUGUUUUUUAAAUGCUGUUUGACUGUUCAUGAUUCCAUGUCAACACUAGACACCAGAAACAAUAAAGUGUUUUUUUGAUUCCUUUCUCAGACUCUUCCUGUCAUUUCAUUUGGGGGGGGGGGGUAGUUUCACAUUCUACUGUUGUUGUGUACAUCUGUUGUUGAGAGAAACGCGGAGUGUCAAUCUCUUCGUCUGAUUAACUCAUCUCUAAUGUCUCCCAUUUAUGAAAUGGAUGGUUGUAAAAAAUACAAAUGUAAAAAAUGUUUUGUAAAAGGCAGGAGACUGUUUGUCAUGGCAACAGCAAGUAUUCCAAGUCAUGAGUCUCUUUGAGGAUAAAUGAGAGAACUUAGAGGCGAAAGGAAAAAGAACCCUGGACACACUCUCCCUAGCUCUACAACUUCCUGUAUACCAACUGUGGUAUAACUGACUACAGGAUUGGGC